CCCGAAGAUACGUGUUUGGACUAUUCGUAUCUACCAGAGUGGAAUAGCUGUGGUAGUAAGACGUUGUAAAGAGAAAAAGGGGUCCCUGUCUUACUUCUUAAUGGCGUCUCUUAGCUGCCAUUUUGGGAGAAUUGUUCGCGUUGGCCUUUAACAACUUGCUGGUUGAUAUAGCAUUUGAUGUGCCAUUUGUGAAAGGGAAAACUGCGGAAUAGGGAAAUGGGAAGAUACCUGCAAGCAGACUUAAUCUCAAUCAAAGACUAUUCUACGACCUUUUUCAAAAAACUGAAGGACUCGCUAAGAGAGAGUUUGAAAUAGGGCUAGAGGGCGUACGGACUAAGAGCUGUGGGACUUGAACAAAGA
rnacentral:lncRNA from 1 species